rnacentral:rRNA from 1 species
AGUCAAUAGAUACCCAGGUAGUCCACGCCGUAAACGAUGAAUACUAGGUGUAGGGGUUGUCAUGACCUCUGUGCCGCCGCAAACGCAUUAAGUAUUCCGCCUGGGGAGUACGGUCGCAAGAUUAAAACUCAAAGGAAUUGACGGGGGCCCGCACAAGCAGCGGAGCAUGUGGUUUAAUUCGAAGCAACGCGAAGAACCUUACCUAGACUUGACAUCUCCUGAAUUACUCUGUAAUGGAGGAAGCCCUUCGGGGCAGGAAGACAGGUGGUGCAUGGUUGUCGUCAGCUCGUGUCGUGAGAUGUUGGGUUAAGUCCCGCAACGAGCGCAACCCUUAUUGUUAGUUGCUACCAUUAAGUUGAGCACUCUAGCGAGACUGCCCGGGUUAACCGGGAGGAAGGUGGGGAUGACGUCAAAUCAUCAUGCCCCUUAUGUCUAGGGCUACACACGUGCUACAAUGGCUGGUACAGAGAGAUGCUAAACCGUGAGGUGGAGCCAAACUUUAAAACCAGUCUCAGUUCGGAUUGUAGGCUGAAACUCGCC